rnacentral:sRNA from 1 species
CCCACGGCUUACGCCGUGGGCUAUCUUCUGCCGCCGCUCCGCGGCU